CUCGCACAUCUUCUCCAAAGUUUCAAAACUUUCAUCUGAUAUAUUAUCCAAGCUUUCUUCAGCAUUUGCAGAUGAUGUUCUAUCGCUGCAUAAACCGUACAAUGUAGACCUGACCAGACCAAAUCACUAAUACUAGUAUUGUUUUAAAUAAAUUCGAGCCAAUUUUCGAAUUCACACGCUGAGAACCCUAAGAUCUGAUAUAUAGCCUCAUUUUCGGCUUAAAAAUUAGACACUCCACACCUAACUAAGAGAGCUCUGUUAGUAUGGCUUUACCUCCUGUUUUUUUAGUUUUUCUCUCUCUAGUUUAUAAUAAUGGAUAUUUUUCUUUUCUCAAGGAGAACGGACACAAAGUACACAAGACAAAUUUUGGCAUGCGCUAUGGAUUUCAGGGGGCCUCUUGCCACUCCCCGGCAGCUCUGGAUAGCCACUGGACGCUUGGAUGUCAUCUUCAUGGACAUGAAACAAAAACGAAAAACCACAACCACAUUAUCUCUAUUUAAGGGCACACAAUCACACUUACUUUUUAUAAUAACACAACAGUCACCAAUAAAAAAAAGAAUUAUUAACAUUUA
rnacentral:sRNA from 1 species